rnacentral:pre_miRNA from 1 species
AAUAAGCGUAGCCAUAAGUUUUUGUUUUCAACUUUGAUCAUUCGUCUUAUUUGAAAUUAUUUUAUGAUUAUAUUUUUAUUGUUGCUAGAUUAUAAAACAUGAAAACUCCCUCUAUCCCAUAAUAUAACAUAAUAUAAGACGCGAUCAAAGUUGGCACGGUCUUUAAA